GUUAUGGGUAACAAUUGGUUAGAGCGCUGAACUGCAAUUACAGGGCCGCAGGUUCGAUUCCUGCCAGGCA